rnacentral:rRNA from 1 species
UACAGAGGUCACAAGCGUUAUCCGGAUUUAUUGGGCGUAAAGCGUUUCGUAGGUGGGUUCAUAAGUUAUUUUUCAAAGCCCAAGGCUCAACCUUGGAAAGGGAGAUAAUACUGUGAGUCUUGAUUUUUGGUGGGGUAUCUGGAACUGAUGGUGUAGUAGUGAAAUACGUUGAUAUCAUCAGGAACUCCAAGGGCGAAGGCAGGAUACUAACCAAUUAAUGACACUGAGGAACGACAGCUAGGGGAGCGAAAGGG